GUGAUACCGAAUCUUUAGAGGUUCAAGCUUCUGCAAAAAACAAGUAAUGACAAAUCUUAGGGCAUGUAAAUUUCAACUAAAGGCAAAUUUGCAAAAGAUUUAGAUUACUCAUUAUUACCUUGUCCUUCUCGCGCAUCAUGUAGGCCCGGUGUUGCACGUCGUAGACAUCGUCCAGAAGCCAAACCAUCCUUACAAUUUCAAACAGUAAACAUAUAAGAGUUCAUCUUCAUCUCAAAUAUCGGUAUACACUAAACAUAUAACAUGUGUUCAACUACAAGAAUCUCAACAUCUCCUUCUCACACAAUGAAUAUGUCAUAUGUGUUCAAAUAAACUAAAUAUCUAAUAUUUGAAAUAAACUCAACAUCUAAUAUUUGAAAUAAACUCAACAUCUAAUAUUUGAAAUAAACUCAACAUCUAAUAUAUAUCUAAACAAACAUCUCUACAAAAAUCAACAUCUCAUAGUUAUCUAUAAAAAUAGGCAUCUCAUAUAUAUCUAAAAAAACUAACAAUCUAGGGUUUCACUAACAAGAAUGAUAUAUUGUGAACUAAUCAAUAACACUACGGUACUACCAAUAUGACUACACAUCCUAAAUCGAGCAAAUCAAGCAAAUCAAAGGUUCCAUCAAAUCUCGGACAAAUCUUUAAAAUGGCAACAAAUUUACAGAGGAAAAGAAAGAGAACGGGAGAGUUUACCUAGUAGAAUGGAUUGGAGAUCGAAUCCACGGAUCAAAUCUUCAGAUCUGAGAGGGAUGUGGGGGGAUUAGAUGGGGGCGCCGCCGCUGCUCUCUGUCCAGAGAGCGGAGAGAUGAAGAACUACCUGGUCGGGCUGGGGCAGCCGCGCUUAAGUAACUGUGCAGCGCCUAAGGGCUAGGCACUGCACGUCACAGUGUGGCGCCUAGUACUUAGGCGUUGCACAGGUGCGUGUGGGGCCGCGCCUGGCCUCGGGCUGCCACGCUGACAGGAGGUGCGACGCCUAAUGGAAGGACGCUGCACAGUAGGGUGCGGCGCCUAGCUGUCGGGAGCCACUCGAAAGGGUCAGCAGAGCGAAAUUUUUUCGGAAGCAGGUCAGUUUAUGAUUUGAUUUGGGCCUCAGGUCAAAUAUGUGAUUUCUGCCUUUUUCCUAUCCUCUUCCCCUUUGCUCUCUUAGCCCUCAAGAAACCUAACGAAGCUGGCGGCUGAGAUGACUCGGCUGGUGCUCUGCUGGGCCGCUCCAAUGGCGACGUCGACCCUGUCGGCCGCUAUCUACCUUGCCGCCGCCGCUCCCACUGAUUUUGCUGCCUCUGCGACGCCUCCGUCCCUCCAAGGCGAUUGCAUCAUCUGAGGCGGGGUCGCGGCACCUUCCCAGAUGCGGCGGAGGCACCACAUCCCAUGGCGACGGCGGCCUGGAGCUCCUCCCACUCUAUUUCGUCCCCACGUUGAUGCAAGCCAUCUGCGGUGUGAUCCUUCCAAGGUGCACGGUCUUCUUGGUGGAUCCAGCUGAGGCGCGCGAUGGGAUCCCGUGCGAGGGGACGAGGCGAUCUAGCGGCGCGUGUUCAUCUCGGUGGAUCCAGUUGAAGUGCACGAGGGAGUCAUCCUAGGGGUUGGAAUUGGUGACUGAGGAGGAGGCGGCGCCGGCGAGGGUGCACAAGCCGUGCACAAGGCCACGACGACUCCACAAAGACUGUUGCGCUCUCCCUGACCAUCGAUCGCGUGCUCUCCGACCUCUCCUCAUCAUUGACGGGUGAAGAAAAUUUCUUCUAGAGGUGAGGCAGUGGGAAAUAAUCUUGAUGCAACAGCGAAAGUGCUACAGAUCCUAGCCUCCUCCCCUUGUGUAUGUUCUAGCAGAGACAGAUAGGAGAUUCAGAUAGGAGCGAUUCACAAAUUUCGUCUCCUCUGUUAAAUUUCGUUGGUCUCUUCUCUCCUAUACGCUAUCCGAUUUUCUUGAUUGUUGGCCAUAUAUUUGUGUACUCAAAAUGAUGUUGCCCAAUGUAUAUUUUCAGUAUAUGCUGCUGUCUAAUGCUUAUACAGCGGAGAGGAGGUGUCCGAGGAGCCGACCCCAAUGGCUCUGUCUACGCAGCCGUGGAUUGGAUGCACAAUUGUUUCACUUCGCAAACAACAGCCAUGUCAGGAAGCCAUGAUCUGGAGUGGUCAUCGCUCAAUAAAAAUGGAUGCAGCAAAACCCCCAUUGAAGAAACGUGCUAGAAGCCAGCUCCACAUUCGGCUAACCUGAACCUUCAUCGCUACCUAGGUAUGGCUGCCAAGUUUCCUUUAGUAAUGUAUAUGCAUCAUGUUCAGACAUGCCUGCAAGGCUCCAUCUAGGUAGAUGUUACGUACUCUAGCUUCCCACCACUAAUUUCAUUUAGUUUCUUGAUUGUAAGUUGAACAAACUGAAUCUACGUACAUAUGCAAAAAUAUUUCACUAUGCAAACUACAAUAUAUGGUCUGCACUUGCAAUAGUUUUACUGCACUUGGAAUACAAUGUCGUGAAGAAAAUUAUUGUGUUUGCCACAACCUUAGCCUGACAUACACAUUCUGAAAUGGUCGGCGUUCAAACAAAACAAAGGUUAGCAUCCUUCCUCGUUCAUCCCCGUUUUAGAAUGGUUUUGUACGAUGCAGAUUCAUUGAAUGGCCGAGUAUUAAUUUCAUUGGAUCUGUGGUGCGAUGUCUAGCUAGCAAUUGGAAAACCAAUUAGUUGAUGAAUUGAAGCAGUCUUGUUUGCAAGUGUACCACUUGUUGUGUUCUUAAAGAAAAGGACUUGGCUUCUCUAGCUUCGCAAGUCUUUAAUAAACAUGCAUAAUACAAGGAUUGGGCUCAUCGCUUUAUUGACAUGCAUGUCAUCAUUUGUGAGAAGUCAUUUUCAGUACCAUUGAUAUUGCUUACAAACAUGUUGACCAGGCGCAAACUGAAGCAGAUCCAUCCAAGAUGCUCAAAACUGUUUUAUUUUUGUGCUCUUGUGUUCUAUCUUCUUGAACAACCCAACCAACACAUUUGUAGUCUAGGCCCAGAAUAGGUGUUUACUUCAUUACUAACUCCAUUUAUUUUGACUUCCUCAUCGACAAUAAGUUGUAGUAAAAUACUGAAUCUGCCGACAUGCAUUCUAGAAUGGCCGUCUUCAAACAAAGGUGAGACUCAUUUACUCCCCUGGUUUCGGUUGUGAUUGUUCAAUCCCUUUCCAUUAUCUGUAGCCUGGGUUCGCUGCUAGACUACUUUUUACUAUUCCAAUUGCAAAAUAUAUGUCUCAACGGACUAUACUAACCGAGAAGGUUGAAAUCCCACGAGAAGACGACAUGCUAGCGGCCAGCUCUACCUUUUGCCAACGUGUGAAUCAAGGCUGCAUCGAUCGGCUAACUAAUGAGAUCAAUGAGUUUCUUCAUUAGGACCUCAGAUUGAUUCCCAAGUUUUCUCGUAGCUAGCAAGUCCCUCCAUCCGGGUUUAUUAGGCCGACCAAUAAAUUUAAGUAUGUCACAAAAAUUAUAUCAUCGGAAAGCUCUUUCAAAUACAAAUCCAACCAUGUACUUUUUGUACCAUAUAUUUUAUAUUUUACUGGGAAUAUGGAUGGUCAAAGUUUGGCUCAAAAUAGUGGGGGGCCUAAUAAACCUGGACGGAGGUACUAGCUAGCAAGUCUAAUUAGUGAGUAAUAUAUUCAGACCUGCAGUCUCCAUCUUUAUUAGUUUAUUACUCCCUCGGUCCGGAAAAGGUUGUCCCAAGCUUGUUCCUCAAAUGGUUGUAUCUAGCGCUAACUUGGUGCUAGAUACAUCCAUAUCAAGGACAAGUUUUUUCGGACAGAGGGAGUACUUAACAAUGCCCUCAAGACCUGCACAGAAAACAAGGUCAGAUCCGUGGAACACAUGAUACUAGCAAAAAUGCUCUGUAGGUAAUGUUGUUAUUAUUGUUUCUUUCAUCAACAUACACCAUGUUAUUUAGGGAGCAAUUAUAACUGUUGUGCGCUUCUCCUUGGCACACUACUUAUGUAGUUAUUUCCUCAAUUCAUUUUCCUUGCUAACAAGUAUUUUGUUUGUACUUCAGUGUAAGCAACUGUAAGUUGGUUAAGAUGUAACACAACUUGAACCAUUCUUUCAUAACAACCCACUGGCAUUUGAUAUUGAGUUUCAGAAUUUUUAUUAUUAUUGUAGAUCAGAUGGAAAUCUACAACCUCAAAUCUGAGCAAGUACACAUUCAGUCAUCUAUCCUGACGCAAUGCAGAAUAUUUGUCCCUUAGACCAUAAUGUAUACUUGUAUUACUGGCCAGAACGCAUUGAGAUUUUUUAAGAUAAUAAAUAUCGCCCCAAAGUUCUGAAAUAUUUGUACUGCUUUUUUUCUCUCUCUCAUGUCUUUCCUCGAUACCUUUUUAGUUAUCAUGAUGUGAGUCUUUGCGGGAGUCUUUUUAGGAGACAAAAAGAGGUCAUGUUCCAUAUCAAUCAUAAUUUAUAUCUCCGCGCUUAAUACCACAACUCAAACAUUAGACCUAAGGAGAAAACUCAAAAUACUACUCCCUCCGUCCCAAAAUAAAUGUCUCAACUAUGUACUAACUUUAGUACAAAGUUCUCAACUUUGUACUAACUUUAGUACAAAGUUGUACUAAAGUUGAGACACUUAUUUUGAGACGGAGGGACUACUUUUUUGCAGAUUAAUCGGACUGGAGUUCUCUUGAGUUACACAGCAUUAUAUUCUUGAUUUCUCUCUUUAGUUACAUCCCAUCAUAUUCUAUAAAAUGGAGAGACAAGUACAGUAUAUAAAAGCACUGCAAACAAAUGUAUACAAGUUACUUCAUAUCUCUAACAACUCUUUUAAGUCAAAAUAGACGGGCGCAACAACACGCGCCAUCAACGAUCUAGUCCUUGCUUAAUACACUGUUGCAUAAGAGAACACUAAUCCCCUCACAGAUUUCUACCUUGACAUUGGCAUCGACGAAUAGCUUGAAGGUCCCAUAUGACAAUCUGGUGCCUCAGGAGGCUACCAUAAGCUAGAUUUGCAUGCUUUAGAUGUCGGGACUCAACUGCUACAAUCUCUAGAUGUUCGUUCAGGUGAUCAUUCGAAGGGCCAAAUCAGAACUUCUCCUUCGUUCGCUAGUGGCGACUGGAGUCCAUCUCUGGUCGGCGAAGAGGGUGUGUAACAGUCGCGUGUGCAACUGUCUUGGUUGCAUGGCAUCCAUGAAAAGCACUUCUCUACACGUGGCUCCUCCCUUAGGCGGACCCUUGAUGAAUUCUUUUUGAAUGUCGACGUAAUCCACCUCCAUCCCUCUCAUACUUUGCAAAACAUAUACAUAUACACACAGAAACACACCUUUUGUAUUAUCACGCAUAACAAAUAUAUAAGGAACAUAUUUUGUA